rnacentral:misc_RNA from 1 species
UACCAUCUCUUGUGAGAGUCCUUCCACUAAGAGGCAAAAUCUGAAAGAUUUCUCCAGCAUUAACAAUAGGGCCUACGGCAGUAACAUCAGUUGGAAUGAAGACAAUUUCAGUCUGCCCUGAAAGUGGCCAUCCUGAUGCAUAAACAGUUACACCUUUGGUUGUCACAUUGAGAUCCUGAUAAAAAAGCUUUCCAUUCACAGAAAUAGUGAAGACUCUCCAGCUGUGUGAGCUUGGAGCACGGCUGUCCUGGAAAUAGAGUGCAAUGUAGUAUUUGGUGCUGGGAAGUGACAUUGGAGGCCACUGGAUAUUUAAUGUCUUUCCUCUGCUUGUUGUAAUUCCUGUUGUGAAUGCUUUCUUUGGUGGGAAGUUCCAAAAAUCUGAAGAUAUUACAGGAGAGCGACUUUCUGCAACAGUGUUCUGAUCCUUGAAUGGCUGCCAGAACCGGUUGAACUGAUCAUCUGGAAAACCAAUUAUAGUUCCUUCAG